CCUACGGGGGGCAGCAGUGAGGAAUAUUGCACAAUGGGCGCAAGCCUGAUGCAGCGACGCCGCGUGGGUGAUGAAGGCUUUCGGGUCGUAAAGCCCUUUUCUAGGUGACGCGGUAGCCUAGGAAUAAGUGUCGGCUAACUACGUGCCAGCAGCCGCGGUAAAACGUAGGACACAAGCGUUAUCCGGAGUUACUGGGCGUAAAGGGCGUGUAGGCGGAAUUGUAAGUCUAUUCUGAAAGCUCCUGGCUAAACUGGGAGAGGCGAAUGGAGACUGCAAAUCUAGAGUGAGGAAGAGGAAAGUGGAAUUCCGCGUGUAGUGGUGAAAUGCGUAGAGAUGCGGAGGAACACCAGUGGCGAAAGCGACUUUCUGGUCCUUACUGACGCUGAGGCGCGAAAGCAUGGGGAGCGAACGGGAUUAGAUACCCCUGUAGUC
rnacentral:rRNA from 1 species